rnacentral:tRNA from 1 species
UGGCUGAGUGGUAAAGCACUUGGCUUCAGAACCAGAGGUUCCAGGUUCAAAUCCUGG